GGGGGGGGGGGGGGAGGUAAAAACACAAUUUUUGGGGGGGGGGUUUUUUUUUUCUUUCCCCCUUUUUUUGGGGGAGGGGGGAAAAAAAAAAACACCGGAGGGGAAAAAAUUUUUUUGUUUUUAAAAUCCCUUUUAUAAAAAUUUUUUUUUUCGGGGGAAAAAAAGCUUUUUUUUUGCCCCAAAGGGGAAGGGAGCCCCCCCCCUUGGAUUUAAUUUGUGUUGGGUAGGGGUAAUGGGCCCUCCCAAAGGCUGGGGAUCCAAUAGGUUGAUUUGGAGAGGGAUGGUUAAGCCCCCUUGGGGAAUGGAGACCCGGGCCCAAACUCUUACGGGAGGCAAGCAGUAAGGAAAUCUUGCCCAAAGGAGGGAACUUUUGAUGCAGCGAUGCGGCGUGAGUGAAGAAGGCCCUUGGGUUGUAAAGCUCUUUCGUCGGGGAAGAAAAUGACUGUACCCGAAUAAGAAGGUCGGGCUAACUUCGUGCCAGCAGCCGCGGUAAUACGAAGGGACCUAGCGUAGUUCGGAAUUACUGGGCUUAAAGAGUUCGUAGGUGGUUAAAAAAGUUGGUGGUGAAAGCCCAGAGCCUAACUCUGGAACAGCCAUCAAAACUUUUUAGCUAGAGUUUGAUAGAGGAAAGCAGAAUUUCUAGUGUAGAGGUGAAAUUCGUAGAUAUUAGAAAGAAUACCGAUUGCGAAGGCAGCUUUCUGGAUCAUUACUGACACUGAGGAACGAAAGCAUGGGUAGCGAAGAGGAUUAGAUACCCUCGUAGUCCAUGCCGUAAACGAUGUGUGUUAGAUGUUGGAAAUUUAUUUUCAGUAUCGCAGCGAAAGCAAUAAACACACCGCCUGGGGAGUACGACCGCAAGGUUAAAACUCAAAUGAAUUGACGGGGACCCGCACAAGUAGUGGAGCAUGUGGUUUAAUUCGAAGAUACGCGCAGAACCUUACCAACACUUGACAUGUUCGUCGCGACUCUAAGAGAUUAGAGUUUUCGGUUCGGCCGGACGAAACACAGGUGCUGCAUGGCUGUCGUCAGCUCGUGUCGUGAGAUGUUGGGUUAAGUCCCGCAACGAGCGCAACCCUCACUUUUAGUUGCCAUCAUUUAGUUGGGCACUCUGAAAGAACUGCCAGUGAUAAGCUGGAGGAAGGUGGGGAUGACGUCAAGUCCUCAUGGCCCUUACGUGUUGGGCUACACACGUGCUACAAUGGCAUUUACAAUAGGAAGCAAGAUGGCGACAUCAAGCAAAUCCUAAAAAAAUGCCUCAGUUCGGAUUAUGCUCUGCAACUCGAGUACAUGAAGCUGGAAUUACUAGUAAUCGCGGAUCAGCGCGCCGCGUGAAUGCCCCCCC
rnacentral:rRNA from 1 species